AGUAAGGGCGACUGAAACGGGAACAGCCCAGCGCAUAACCUCGCGGUCCCUAGUCGGCCGUCGAGGGGUGUUGCGUUUCGGUGGAUCCAUCCCGCUCGUGCUGCUCACCGCCUAAGUCAUUGCUUGAAAGCAGCCCCAAGGAGGGUGAUAGGCCCGUGUGGCGGCGCCUGUAAAAGGGUUCUAGGCGGCGCGGGCGGAGGGAUCUUCACCGUAGAGUCGGGUUGCUUAGUACUGCAGCCCUAAGCAGGUGGUAAACUCCAUCUAAGGCUAAAUACGACCACGAGUCCGAUAGAGGACAAGUACCGUGAGGGAAAGCUGAAAAGGACUUUGAAGAGAGAGUUCAAAAGGACGUGAAACCAUUAGAAGCAUAAACGGGUGGAACCGCGACGGUCGAACGAGGGGAUUCAGCUCGCGGGCUGUCGGCCCGGAGUGCGGCACAUUGAGAACGGACCCGGCGCGAACUGGCUCGCCGUGGCACCGCACUCCGGCUCGCCGGUCUGUCCCGCGGGCUUAAUUCUCCCUCCAGUAGCUUCGCCGCGACCCGUCGCUGUUGGGCCCCGAGGGCUGGCGCGGAUUGGUAGCCGGGACUUCGGUCCCGGCGAUGACCGCGUCGGUUCCGUCUGGUGCCCCGGCGGCGGUCACUGCCAGGAGGCCGCGUGAGCGGCCUCUCGCGGCGUACCCCAGGAUCGGUAAUCCACCCGACCCGUCUUGAARCACGGACCAAGGAGUCCAACAUGUGCGCGAGUCUAAGGGUGAACUAAACCCGGAGGCGAAAUGAAAGUGAGCCGUCUGUUGGUCGGCAGGCCGAUCCCCGGCCGGCCGUCUCGCCGGGAGUGCCGAGGGCGCGUGAGCUAGUUUCCGCCCCUCGACGAGCCUCUCGGCGGGCGGCCGGCGGCGUUCCGUGUGACCGCGGAGCGCUCUGGUGCGGGGCGCAGGCCGAGGACUUGCCACUCGGCGGCGCGGGGGACGGGGCUUCGGCUCUCACCCCGCUGUCCGCCGGCAAGUACCUGAGAGCGCACACGUUGGGACCCGAAAGAUGGUGAACUAUGCCCGGCGAGGACGAAGCCAGAGGAAACUCUGGUGGAGGUCCGAAGCAGUUCUGACGUGCAAAUCGAUUGUCAGAGCUGGGUAUAGGGGCGAAAGACUAAUCGAACCAUCUAGUAGCUGGUUCCCUCCGAAGUUUCCCUCAGGAUAGCUGGCACUUACGGAUGAGUUUCAUCCGGUAAAGCGAAUGAUUAGAGGCCUUGGGGGUGCAAUGCCCUCAACCUAUUCUCAAACUUUAAAUGGGUGAGAUCGAGAGCUUGCUUGAGAUUUUGAAGCUCUACGGCAGAAUCAGAGUGCCUAGUGGGCCACUUUUGGUAAGCAGAACUGGCGCUGUGGGAUGAACCUAACGCACGAGUUAAGGGGCCUAAAUGGACGCUAAUAUAGACACUAAGAAAAGGUGUUGGUUGCUAUAGACAGCAGGGCGGUGGCCAUGGAAGUUGGAAUCCGCUAAGGAGUGUGUAACAACUCACCUGCCGAAGCAACUAGCCCUUAAAAUGGUAUGGCGCUGAAGCGUUCUCCCGAUACUCGGCCGCCGGGGCAACGGGCGUUCACUCGACCUAUCAAGCCCCGGCGAGUAGGAGGGUCGCAGCGGCGAGCGUAGAAGGGACCCGGCGCAGGCCGGCCUGGAGCCACCGCUGGCGCAGAUCUUGGUGGUAGUAGCAAAUAAUCAAGAGAGAGCCUCGUUGGCUGAUGUGGAGAAGGGUUCCGUGUCAACAUCAGUUGAACACGGGUGAGUCAGGCCUAAGCCCAAGGAUAAAGUUCCUGUGUCCCACGUGUUCCGCACGCAUACAGAGAGAGAGAGAAGAGCCACACGGCUCGCGCGGGCGCGUGCGCGCGCGGCGGGGUCCCCCGCGUGCUGUGG
rnacentral:rRNA from 3 species